rnacentral:rRNA from 1 species
CAGCAGCCCGAGUGGUGGUCAUUUUUAUUGGGCCUAAAGCGUCCGUAGCCGGUCUAGUAAAUCCUUGGAUAAAUCGUACAGCUUAACUGUACGGCUCCCGGGGAGACUGCUAGACUUGGGACUGGGAGAGGUCGGAGGUACUCCAGGGGUAGGGGUGAAAUCUUGUAAUCCUUGGGGGACCACCAGUGGCGAAGGCGUCCGACUAGAACGGGUCCGACGGUAAGGGACGAAGCCCUGGGGCGCGAACCGGAUUAGAUACCCGAGUAGUCC